rnacentral:tRNA from 1 species
GGGGUAUUAGUUUAAAAAGAACGGGUGGCUGUUAACCGCUUAGUGUGACGGGAUCACAUACCUC